GGGCGCGUGGCGGAAUUGGCAUACGCGUACGCUUCAGGAGCGUAUGGACUUUGUCCUUGAGGGUUCAAAUCCCUCCGCGCCCA
rnacentral:tRNA from 1 species